UGGGGAAUUUUGGACAAUGGGCGAAAGCCUGAUCCAGCCAUGCCGCGUGAGUGAAGAAGGCCUUCGGGUUGUAAAGCUCUUUUAGUCGGAAAGAAAGAGUUGCAAUGAAUAAUUGUGAUUUAUGACGGUACCGACAGAAAAAGCACCGGCUAACUACGUGCCAGCAGCAGCGGUAAUACGUAGGGUGCGAGCGGUAAUCGGAAUUACUGGGCGUAAAGGGUGCGCAGGCGGUCUUGCAAGUCAGAUGUGAAAGCCCCGGGCUUAACCUGGGAAUUGCGUUUGAAACUACAAGACUAGAGUGCAGCAGAGGGGAGUGGAAUUCCAUGUGUAGCAGUGAAAUGCGUAGAGAUGUGGAAGAACACCGAUGGCGAAGGCAGCUCCCUGGGUUGACACUGACGCUCAUGCACGAAAGCGUGGGGAGCAAACA
rnacentral:rRNA from 1 species